CAACCCUCAGGCCCCGCCUGGCGUUGGGGAUCGGCGCGGCGCGGCUCCCCGGAGCGGCGCUGCCGGCCCCGAAAUUGAGUGGCGGUCUCGCCGUAGUCCUCUGCGUAGUAGCUAACACCUCGCACUGGAACGCGGCGCGGCCAAGCCGUAAAACACCCCACUUCUGAA
rnacentral:misc_RNA from 1 species